GGGCGCCCCGCCCCGCCCGGGGGAGGAGCGCGGCGGCGGCGGCGGCGGCUGCAGCUGUGGCGAAAGUGCGGCUGCGGAAGUGCGGCGAGGCAGGCGGCCGCGACGAAGAAGCAGAGAGGCGGCGGGCCCUGCGGGGUCGGGCGGACGCCAUGGGCCGGCUGCACUGCACGGAGGACCCCGUGCCCGAGGCCGUGGGCGGCGACAUGCAGCAGCUGAAUCAGCUGGGCGCGCAGCAGUUCUCGGCCUUGACAGAAGUGCUUUUCCACUUCCUAACUGAGCCAAAAGAGGUGGAAAGGUUUCUGUCUCAGCUCUCUGAGUUUGCCACCACCAAUCAGAUCAGUCUUGGCCCUCUCAGAAGCAUCGUGAAAAGCCUCCUUCUGGUUCCAAAUGGUGCGUUGAAGAAGAGUCUCACAGCGGAUCAGGUCCGGGGUGAUCUCAUAACUCUUGUUUCUUUCUGUUCUCUUAUAGGUCUUAGUGAGGAGAAAGCCACUUACUUUUCUGAAAAGUGGAAGCAGAGUGCCCCCACCCUUGCUCGAUGGGCCAUAGGACAAACUCUGAUGAUUAACCAGCUUGUAGAUAUGGAGUGGAAAUUUGGAGUGACAUCUGGGAGCAGUGAACUGGAGAAAGUGGGAAGUAUUUUUUUACAAUUAAAGUUGGUGGUUAAGAAAGGAAAUCAAACUGAAAAUUUGUACAUAGUAAGCUCUAUGCCCAGUGUGGGACUUGAACUCACAGCCCUGAGAUCAAGAGUCAUGUGCUCUACCGACAGAACUAGCCAGGCGUCCCCUGACCAAGGAGUUUUGAGAGACGGAGACUUGGACAGAAUUCAUCCCAGCAGAACAAUAUACUAUACAGAGAGAAACCACAACCAGGCAGAGAGGCAGGCAGAGAGAGAGGAGGAAGCAGGCUCCCUGUGGAGCAGAGAGCCCGAUGCGGGGCUCGAUCCCAGGACCCCGGGAUCAUGACCUGAGCCAAAGGCAGAGGCUUUAACCCACUGAGCCACCCAGGUGCCCCAUACCUGAUUUUUUUAAGGCAAACAGGGAUGGUUGGUCCCCCGAGUUUCCUCAUCUGUAACAUGGCGAACCGCCUGCCCUCUGGGGCUGCCGUGCAGAACUGAAGCAUGCACACAGGAAAGUCCGAGAAGAAUUCCAGAUCGAGUACACAAAUAUUAAAGAAUUCUGAGUGCCGUGGAAGUCCAGUUAUGGAAAAGAAGGAGCCCGCUUGCAGGUUCUGCUAUGGAAGCAGCUCUAAGAUACAUAUUCUUAGUGGAAAAAGCAAGGGUGAAAAACCUUCUCAACUCCUGUGUGUCCAGAAUUAAAGCAACAAAAAACUAUUCUAAACCGUUAAAAGGCCAGAGAUACAGAGUAGGAAACGUGUCUCGCUCAGGGCCCAGCAGCCAAGAAGUUCAUGAAUGGCCUUCUCCCCUCUCCUUCCCGUAGCCUCGCUGAUCACCAGUCUGGACUAGGCAACCUGCAUCUGCUGCUGUGGCCACCAAAGCCAGCUCCCUCUGCCUCUGGCCUCCGGGAGAAAGAGCCACAGCUGGUUUAGGAAAAAGUUCCAGAGUCAGCCCUCCAGGCCUGCCCCUCACCAACCAACCUCCACUGAGAGCCCAGCCCAGCCCUGCCUUGAGCUUCCAGACACGUGGCCAGAUUCUUUUCUUUUAAAUUUUAGCAUCAUGCACGUAUUUCAGGAGCAUGGUCUCAUUGUACUCUCUCAAACAUUAAUAA